rnacentral:misc_RNA from 1 species
UUUCCGUAGGUGAACCUGCGGAAGGAUCAUUAUCGUACAAAAUGUGAGGGGCAUGCGAGGGCUGUCGCUGACCGAAAAGUCGUGCACGCCCGAGUGUGUCCUCUUGCAUAAUAAUCCAUCUCACCCUUUGUGCAUCACCGCGUGGGCACCCCUCGGGAUCAUCUCGGGGAGGGGCUCGCGUUUUCACACAAACCCCCCUUAAAAAGUGUAGAAUGACCACAUUUAUGCAAUCAAUACAACUUUCAACAACGGAUCUCUUGGCUCUC